rnacentral:misc_RNA from 1 species
CUUGUCAUACUAUGAACUUCUGAGCUGAUAAACCUGCUUGAAGGUUUAGCUGUAAAUGCAUGUUAGCAUGCGAAAUCUUCUUGGCUGGCAUAGAAUUUUACUUUUUCCUCUGCAGUUAUAUUUUGCAUGGGGCAUGAGUAUUUCUUUUCUGAAGUGCUGCAUUGGUAAAUCUCUGCAACAUUUGUUUCUUUCACCUACUUAUUUUCAUUUCUUAGGUACUCUCCGC